rnacentral:rRNA from 1 species
GAUGAACGCUAGCGACAGGCCUAACACAUGCAAGUCGAGGGGCAGCACAAUGCGUAGCAAUACAAAUGGUGGCGACCGGCGCACGGGUGAGUAACACGUAUGCAACCUACCUAUAAGUGGGGAAUAACCCGGAGAAAUCCGGACUAAUACCGCAUAAUACUUGUUAAUCUGCAUGGAUUACAAGUUAAACAUUUAUGGCUUAUAGAUGGGCAUGCGUAUGAUUAGUUAGUUGGUGAGGUAACGGCUCACCAAGACAUCGAUCAUUAGGGGUUCUGAGAGGAAGGUCCCCCACACUGGUACUGAGACACGGACCAGACUCCUACGGGAGCAGCAGUGAGGAAUAUUGGUCAAUGGGCGAGAGCCUGAACCAGCCAAGUCGCGUGAAGGAAGACGGUUCUAUGGAUUGUAAACUUCUUUUGUAAGGGAAUAAAGUUCACUACGUGUAGUGUUUGUAUGUAUUUACGAAUAAGAUCGCUAACUCCGUGCCAGC